rnacentral:miRNA from 1 species
AGUUGGUAGACUGAUUUCAG